AACGCGAAGAACCUUACCUGGGCUUGAACUACUGGUAGUAAGUCUUUGGAAACAUGGACUGAUCCGCAAGGAAGCCAGCAGAGGUGCUGCAUGGUUGUCGUCAGCUCGUGUCGUGAGAUGUUGGGUUAAGUCCCGCAACGAGCGCAACCCCUAUUCGAUGUUGCUAAUCCCGCAAGGGAUGCACUCUUCGAAAACUGCCUUCGAUAAGAAGGAGGAAGGUGGGGACGACGUCAAAUCCUCAUGGCCCUUAUGUCCAGGGCUACACACGUGCUACAAUGGCCGGUACAACGGGAAGCAAUACCGCAAGGUGGAGCCAAACCCUUAAAGCCGGCCCCAGUUCAGAUCGUGGGCUGAAACUCGCCCACGUGAAGGCGGAAUCGCUAGUAAUCGCGAAUCAGCAGGUCGCGGUGAAUACGUUCCCGGGCCUUGUACACACCGGAGUA
rnacentral:rRNA from 1 species